CCCUUAGAUGUCCUGGGCCGCACGCGCGCUACACUGACAUGUUCAACAAGCCUCCUAGUUCGACAGGAUUUGGGAAAUCUUUGAACGCAUGUCGUGAUAGGGAUAGAUCAUUGCAAUUAUUGAUCUUGAACGAGGAAUUCCUAGUAAACGCGAGUCAUCAGCUCGCAUUGAUUACGUCCCUGCCCUUUGUACACACCGCCCGUCGCAUCUACCGAUUGAAUGUUUCGGUGAAGAUUCCGGAUAGGACUUUUUUGAUUUAUUUCAAUUUUGUCUUAAAAGCUAUCUAAACCUCAACAUUUAGAGGAAGGUGAAGUCGUAACA
rnacentral:rRNA from 1 species